rnacentral:rRNA from 1 species
CCUACGGGUGGCAGCAGUGAGGAAUAUUGGUCAAUGGGCGCAAGCCUGAACCAGCCAAGUAGCGUGCAGGAUGACUGCCCUACGGGUUGUACACUGCUUUUAUACGGGAAUAACGCGCCUUACGUGUACUGCUUUGCAUGUACCUUAUGAAUAAGGACCGGCUAAUUCCGUGCCAGCAGCCGCGGUAAUACGGAGGGUCCGGGCGUUAUCCGGAUUUAUUGGGUUUAAAGGGAGCGUAGGCCGCAUGUCAAGCUUGCUGUGAAAUGUCCGGGCUCAACCCGGUACUUGCAGUGCGUACUGGCGUGCUUGAGUACGGGUAAGGUAGGCGGAAUUCGUGGUGUAGCGGUGAAAUGCUUAGAUAUGACGAAGAACCCCGAUUGCGAAGGCAGCUUGCUGCAGCGGAACUGACGCUGAGGCUCGAAAGCGUGGGUAUCGAACAGGAUUAGAUACCCGUGUAGUC